AGCGAACGCUGGCGGCAGGCCUAACACAUGCAAGUCGAACGAACCUUUCGGGGUUAGUGGCGGACGGGUGAGUAACACGUGGGAACGUGCCUUUAGGUUCGGGAUAACUCAGGGGAACUUGUGCUAAUACCGAAUGUGCCCUUCGGGGGAAAGAUUUAUCGCCUUUAGAGCGGCCCGCGUCUGAUUAGCUAGUUGGUUGAGGUAAUGGCUCACCAAGGCGACGAUCAGUAGCUGGUCUGAGAGGAUGAUCAGCCACAUUGGGACUGAGACACGGCCCAAACUCCUACGGGAGGCAGCAGUGGGGAAUCUUGCGCAAUGGGCGAAAGCCUGACGCAGCCAUGCCGCGUGAAUGAUGAAGGUCUUAGGAUUGUAAAAUUCUUUCACCGGGGACGAUAAUGACGGUACCCGGAGAAGAAGCCCCGGCUAACUUCGUG
rnacentral:rRNA from 1 species